rnacentral:rRNA from 1 species
AUUGAACACUGGCGGCAGGCUUAACACAUGCAAGUCGAGCGGGGUGAUGGUGCUUGCACUAUCACUUAGCGGCGGACGGGUGAGUAAUGCUUAGGAAUCUGCCUAUUAGUGGGGGACAAAAUCUCGAAAGGGAUGCUAAUACCGCAUACGUCCUACGGGAGAAAGCAGGUGAUCACUUGUGACCUUGCGCUAAUAGAUGAGCCUAAGUCGGAUUAGUUAGUUGGUGGGGUAAAGGCCUACCAAGGCGACGAUCUGUAGCGGGUCUGAGAGGAUGAUCCGCCACACUGGGACUGAGACACGGCCCAGACUCCUACGGGAGGCAGCAGUGGGGAAUAUUGGACAAUGGGGGGAACCCUGAUCCAGCCAUGCCGCGUGUGUGAAGAAGGCCUUAUGGUUGUAAAGCACUUUAAGCGAGGAGGAGGCUCUUUUGGUUAAUACCCAAGAUGAGUGGACGUUACUCGCAGAAUAAGCACCGGCUAACUCUGUGCCAGCCGCCGCCGUAA